GAUGAACGCUGGCGGCGUGCCUAAUACAUGCCAGUCGAGCGAACGGACGAGAAGUUUGCUUCUCUGAUGUUGGCGGCGGACGGGUGAGUAACACGUGGAUAACCUACCUAUAAGACUGGGAUAACUUCGGGAAACCGGAGCUAAUACCGGAUAAUAUUUUGAACCGCAUGGUUCAAAAGUGAAAGACGGUCUUGCUGUCACUUAUAGAUGGAUCCGCGCUGCAUUAGCUAGUUGGUAAGGUAACGGCUUACCAAGGCAACGAUGCAUAGCCGACCUGAGAGGGUGAUCGGCCACACUGGAACUGAGACACGGUCCAGACUCCUACGGGAGGCAGCAGUAGGGAAUCUUCCGCAAUGGGCGAAAGCCUGACGGAGCAACGCCGCGUGAGUGAUGAAGGUCUUCGGAUCGUAAAACUCUGUUAUUAGGGAAGAACAUAUGUGUAAGUAACUGUGCACAUCUUGACGGUACCUAAUCAGAAAGCCACGGCUAACUACGUG
rnacentral:rRNA from 1 species